CACCGCCCGUCGCUCCUACCGAUUGAAUGAUCCGGUGAAGUGUUCGGAUCGCGGCGAGCUGCCCGCGACGUCGCGAGAAGUCCACUGAACCUUAUCAUUUAGAGGAAGGAGAAGUCGUAACAAGGUUUCCGUAGGUGAACCUGCGGAAG
rnacentral:ncRNA from 1 species